GGGCGAUUAGCUCAGUUGGUUAGAGCGUUCGGUUCACAUCCGAAAGGUCAUCCGUUCAAGUCGGAUAUUGCCCA
rnacentral:tRNA from 1 species